UUGAAAUACACCUGAUAAGUUGUUGCUGGCUCUCUAGGGAGCAUGUGCACACUUUUCGUCUUUGUAUCUUCACCUGUGCACCCUUUGUAGACCUGAAUACCUCUCUGAAUGCUCGGGAUUGAGGAUUGACUUGCUGUCUCUUCUUAUAUUUUCAGGUCUAUGUUUCUUCAUAUACCCUAAUGUAUGUGGAUAGAAUGUGAUUACUAGGCAUUUGUGUCUAUAAAUCUAUA
rnacentral:misc_RNA from 1 species